GUGGGGAAUCUUCCGCAAUGGACGAAAGUCUGACGGAGCAACGCCGCGUGAGUGAAGAAGGUUUUCGGAUCGUAAAGCUCUUUCGUUAGGGACGAACGUGCUCUUUGUGAAUAAUGAGGAGUAAUGACGGUACCUAAAUAAGAAGCCACGGCUAACUACGUGCCAGCAGCCGCGGUAAUACGUAGGUGGCAAGCGUUGUCCGGAAUUAUUGGGCGUAAAGCGCGCGCAGGCGGGAGAUCAAGUCUGUCGUAAAAGUGCGAGGCUCAACCUCGUGAGGGUACAGAAACUGGUAUUCUUGAGUGUCGGAGAGGAAAGUGGAAUUCCAAGUGUAGCGGUGAAAUGCGUAGAGAUUUGGAAGAACGCCAGUGGCGAAGGCGACUUUCUGGACGAUGUCUGACGCUGAGGCGCGAAAACUAGGGGAGCGAACGGGAUUAGAAACCCGGGUAGUCC
rnacentral:rRNA from 1 species